UCUUCCUGCCCAUAAACUCAAGGCACAGCUGUGCCUUUGUUUUCUAUGAUAAUGUGAAGGUAUGGGCGAUACUGUCAGGCACCUCUGUAUUUAAAUGACACUGUUAUGCUGAUGAGAUCAAGGCUGGGAGAAUGCCAGUGUCUGGCACUUUCCUGAUUCCAUUUUGCUUGCUUUGUUUAAAUUGUCUCCACCUCUAUGUAUCCCUCGCCCUUGAAAUGUAUAUAAACUCCAAAGUAUCACUGCUUUGGUUAGACUUUUGAUGACUGUAGCGCUGAGCAGAGCGUUCUCAAUAAAGAAUGCUGCUGAAGAUUACCCAAGAGUCUCCUGGUCUUCGCUUCUGAGUUUCCAACAGUUUUGGUGCCGUGACCUGGAUAGAGCUUCUCACCUGAAUCCAGAUUGAAACUUCAAGCUCAACAAAGAUCUGACUUCGUUCCAGACUGAAUCUUUCUGUACAACCAAGGGUUGGUAUGUGUGCAUGAGAUGUCAUCUCCAUAAGCAGCACCCUGGUG